rnacentral:rRNA from 1 species
AUGUCCGUCCAAGUACUGGUCAACAUGCGCUCCUACCUGAACUUCAUUGGGUACCCGUGGCGGUCUUCAUUGCGUGCAUCAGCCCCUCCUGUCUUCAUCCCCAAAGCCGGCGCCUCGACUCCAGGUGGCUCCUUCCCCGUCGGAUUGCUCGGGGAUCCAGCUCGUGGACCCCAUCUCCAUCAUCUCAACUGUGUACUCAGUUCGGCCGCUGCAUUUGCACUGGCACUGGCAGGAUCAGUGGAGGGACGCGAUGGAUGCACGCUUGCCGCGCCUUGCAACGACACUUCCGCAGUGGCCGGCGCCGGCUUCUGGUUGUGGCUGGGUUGGUUUGUUGGUUGUUGA